CACCUGAGUCCUUCCUCAGUCACUGGCAGCUCUGUGUGUGUCCCCAUCUACAGGGUCUGACUGCGCCUUGAGGACUCUAAGGCACCGUGCCAGUGCAGCAGGACUCUUCACCCUUGAAAUGUGGACAAACAACUCAGACAACACCCUGUUUUCCAAGCUAUCAGUGGUGGCCAUCAUGUGCUGGUUUUGGUGUUGAACAGUGCCAAAACCAGUCUGGCUCACCAACCCUGAACCAACAUCCUGAUAGUGAGGCAAAGGUUCUUCAAGCAUAUUCCUCCCUGGAGUGUGUGUGUGAAGUUUCCUCCCUUGGGAAGGGGAUGCCACUCCAAGGAUUCUCCUUGAGGUCAAGACAAAGAGACCUGCCCACAAGUCUUGAUCUGGUUGAAAAAAAUCUGCAUGUCAAAACAGAAGGGAAUUUUAAGUCCUUGAAUGAAGAUGAUGGAGAACUCAGACCCAGAUCUGCAAAGG
rnacentral:lncRNA from 13 species